CAAGGAAGGAGCUUCGCAGAGCUGGCAAGAGCUGAGCCAGCGGGGCAGGGGCAGUGCCCUGAAAGAGCAGGACCUGCAGGCAGCAGUGGGGCCCUCAGCAGCGCCGUGUGCGGCCGGCAGGAGGGGCUCCCCACUGGGCUCCAGGAUGCCCUACGAGAGGCUGCAGCCAGCAGGAGAGGCUCCCCCAGCUCCAGGAAGGAUCUGAACAGUGACCUGAGGGGUUCCCAGCUCUGCUUCCAGCUCCUCCAAUCAGAAGCUGGGCAGGUUUUCACACCUCUGGCUCUCAGGCUAUAAGCCUCUAUCAGAUGAUCUAAGAGUCUCCAUUAGUAGUAUAGUGAGACCAAAGUUAACCAGAGGAGCAGCCAUUCAUUUAAACACACACGGGCAGCCUACUUCAAGUGCAAUCCUCCUCUGCUCUUGUACGCAUUUCCGCAUGUUAAGUAUCGUCUGGACCCACCAUUCAGCAAUGACAUAAGCUUAUCUGGAUGUACAAGUUUCCUGAAAAAUUCCAUGUGCCAGUGUAAAUAUAACAACAGAGCAAGAAUGGCUUAUGAAAUGUCAUCUCUUUGUACCUUCCAGGCUAUAUUAUGUGCGGCUUUUAUUUUUAAGGGUACUAGUGGUGGGGAGAGCCCUACUAGAAGAACUGUAGGUGACUGUGUCAUCCUUGAUCUGAACAUCCACAAGCCAGAAACAAAUGAAGUCAUCUGGAAGAAAGGCAGUAAUCAGAUGGCCAAGAUCCAGAAUUCUAUUGUAAAGCUCUAUGGAAUCAAUGUUACCCGAUUUAAUGCAUUCCCCAAUGGCAGCCUAAGCUUUUGCCCCAUACAGUGGGGGGAUGAGGGUAACUACACAGCUGAAAUGUUCAGUCAUGAUGGGUUGCUUUUAGAUACCCAAGCUAUUUUCCUGGAGCUUGUUGAAUAUAUAUCUGCACCUGUUCAAGAAAUCAGUGGAUUUGCUGGUGGUUCUGUGUUCUUACCUUCUCCUGAGGUAAAUCUGGAAGGACAUUUCCAUGUGACAUGGAAGAAAGACAAUGUAUCCAUUGCUAGGAUGAAUUUUCCUUAUUUCGAGUACUACGGGGAAUAUGCCAACAGAUCUGAGAUCUUUUCUAAUGGCACUCUCAGAUUGGACAGGAUUGAGGACAGCGAUAGUGGUUGGUAUUAUGUAGAAGCACAUGAUGGCACUGGAAUGAUAAUGUACAACAUGAUCUCUCUUGAAGUGGAAGUGGGAGCAACAGAAGCACCCCAAAGAAUCAAUUUCUUUGUUAUGUUAUAUAUCUGGAUGGGAUGCGUUGUUGCUGUAUGUACGAUUGUGUCUGUCACACUUGCGUGGCAUUGUGGAAAGUGCAAACGCAGCAAAGGUCGCUUUAAACCCCCUAGCUUCAAGAGGGUGAAUUUGAGCCUCAGGAGGCGCAGUGAUGGCUCUAAGAAAUCUGAGGAGGGAGGCAUGAGCAUCUGCUACCAAAAUCAGGAUGAAGACUGCCAUUCAGGAAAAGCAAGCACUGCAGACUCCACCAAGCAAGGGGACAAAGCAUUCAAUCAUGAUGUUGAUGCUAAAGCAGCAGUAGCUGCAGAUGGUUUCAACAAGCUGCCUGUAUCUUUAAAUAUCUCCAGUUUUCAAGGGACUGAAGUACCUAAACCACAGCCCACGUCUGCAGAUGGUUGGAACUCUGUUGCCUUUAUUCCUGAAAGCUGUGUUCCUUUGCAAGCUGGGCAUUGUAUGCCUCUGGAUUUUGAGGACUGUGAUCCUCCUGAUUUCUCUUCUGAGGAAUAUGAUGACGGUUGGUUUCCACCUUCCUCUCCAGAGGCAUGUGACCCCUACAAUACUCUGGAUUUUCCUCCAGUGGUUUUUGAGGACUUUAGUUCUGUGGCAGAUGAGAACUAUGUUCCUAUGGAGGAAGGUGACUAUGAACUUCAAGAUUCAGGGGGUUCUGUUUUAGAAGUAGCCAAUGACUAGUUAAAGAUCCAGAUGAACAAAGGGAACACGCAUCCUGUUGUUGACAAAGAUUGAAAUAAAAUUCCCAGAGGACAAGUCUGAAGGACUAAC
ensembl:lncRNA uncharacterized LOC109305670